GAUGCAGCAGUACAGGGAAGACUAUCACAUGUGAGCUGGAAGGCUGCCAACAUGGAGACACGGAGAGAGCAAGAGCCUAAGCUAUUUUGGGAUUUCCCUGUACUACACUGAAAGUGACACCUGUUACACAUAUAGACGUGAGCAAGAUCAAUCACAAGCUCCCAACUUCUCAAAUAAAACUCUGCAAAAAAAAAAUGCAAGUCACCGAGUCUGUUUGUCUGGGCAGAAGAGCUAGCUUGGGGGAAGGAGAUUGGCCUUUCCAAGCCAAACAGAAAGCAGAGCGGAAAACAUGCAGUGCCUGAUGCAAAGGAAAGCAGAGCAUCCAGAUCCUUAUAGCAACCAAAAGAGGCCACGCUCCACGAAGGGACGACACGGAAAUAGGGGUGCCCGUAGACACAGCUGCAGCAAGGACCGAACCCACAACCUUUAUCCUCAAAGGAGCAGGCCUUAGCUAGCUGAACCAAGCUGGCUAGAAGAUGAGACUGCAGCAUACUAGUUACUUGAAGCAGAGGCUCAGGAAAGCCAUUACCCCAUCAGAUAACGCAGGGCUGCACAGCUGAAAGCAAGGAGCAGCACGUGGCUGGGCCCGUCAGAAGCAGCGCGACGGGCUGAUGAGAGGCCAGAGGCUAGCUUUCACCAUUUUGCACGUUAGCAUCCACGUUACUGGCUACUUCCAUCUCUCCCAGGUUUCCAGGGAGGAAGGGGGUGUUUUUGUGUAUACAAGUCAGCAAACAAAAGAGAAGCCAGGAAUCCCUGCUAACCACCUACCUAGCCGUUAUCGGCUGCCAGGCUCCCCAUAGGCCCCAUGGGAGAUGGCUGUGAAGUAAUUUAUCCGUGACUACGUGUGGCAAGCAUAGGAUGGCACUGUUUAUAUGCUAAUCAAUCACAAAAGUCUGUUGCAUCUUCAUCUCUCACCCUGCCACUCUCCUCUCAUUUUCUUUCCCCUCAGGCCACAUGGUCUCAGCAGCCGCUGACUUUUUCGUAACGCUACAUUUCACGCACCAGCUCUCACGGUCCUCGCACGGUACCUCCGCCACGUGACAGCAGCGCUGCGGGGGACGCAAGGACCUCGAGGAGCCUCCAUCGCGGACGGAGAGAAAUCCUUCGUCUGCCUCUCGGGCAGCACGUGGCCCGAGGGCCGCUGUAGAUGACUGCACCGGAUUUCCAGCUUGGCUAGUGAAGCCUUGCCUUGUGUCACAGUUUACAUACGUCAGCCCCACCUUCCUCUGGAGUACAGGAGACUGCAGUUGGUAAAUUUAGGGCAUGUCCAUGUUUAACUGAAAGCCCUAAAUCAAAUAACCAAAGGCCUGCCGAGUGCCAGACAAGCCCCUGCUGGAGAAUAAAUGGGGAGGUGGAGUUGUUAAAUCUGCAUAACCUCUUGACCUCACUCUCCACAUAAAUGACGCUGCAACAUGUCAUCUUGGGAAACAGAUGGUUGUAAAGGGAACCAGACAAAGAUCAAGAGCAUGGUCAAAAAAACAACGCAACUUAUAUAAGUGCUUAGUAUUGACUGCAUCUGCCUACAGCCAACCCUCCCGACAGCACGCUGCAAAACAUGCAGGGUGCUUUGCAAACAUUAAUACUAUUUAGAAAUGGGUCAUUUUAAAGGCAUUGCCUGACUGUAUCAGAACAGGGGGCCAUCUAGUCCAUCCUCCUUUUGGCUGCAGCUGUGUUUAAAGGUAGAUGCAAGAGUUGAGCUAGGCAGCAAAGUGGUUUUCCAUCCCAUGAAGCUUUUUAGAUUUAAAACAUUGUUUCCCAGCCCAAAGCAUCAAAAUCACA